UUAUACAUGCAAGUCGAGCGAAUGAUGAAGAAGCUUGCUUCUUCUGAUUUAGCGGCGGACGGGUGAGUAACACGUGGGCAACCUACCUAGUAGAUUGGGAUAACUCCGGGAAACCGGGGCUAAUACCGAAUAAUUCAUUUCACCUCAUGGUGAGAUGCUGAAAGGCGGUUUCGGCUGUCACUACUAGAUGGGCCCGCGGUGCAUUAGCUAGUUGGUGGGGUAAUGGCCUACCAAGGCAACGAUGCAUAGCCGACCUGAGAGGGUGAUCGGCCACAUUGGGACUGAGACACGGCCCAAACUCCUACGGGAGGCAGCAGUAGGGAAUCUUCCACAAUGGACGAAAGUCUGAUGGAGCAACGCCGCGUGAGUGAUGAAGGUUUUCGGAUCGUAAAACUCUGUUGUAAGGGAAGAACAAGUACGUUAGUAACUGAACGUACCUUGACGGUACCUUAUUAGAAAGCCACGGCUAACUACGUGCCAGCAGCCGCGGUAAUACGUAGGUGGCAAGCGUUGUCCGGAUUUAUUGGGCGUAAAGCGCGCGCAGGUGGUUUCUUAAGUCUGAUGUGAAAGCCCACGGCUCAACCGUGGAGGGUCAUUGGAAACUGGGAGACUUGAGUGCAGAAGAGGAAAGUGGAAUUCCAAGUGUAGCGGUGAAAUGCGUAGAGAUUUGGAGGAACACCAGUGGCGAAGGCGACUUUCUGGUCUGUAACUGACACUGAGGCGCGAAAGCGUGGGGAGCAAACAGGAUUAGAUACCCUGGUAGUCCACGCCGUAAACGAUGAGUGCUAAGUGUUAGGGGGUUUCCGCCCCUUAGUGCUGCAGCUAACGCAUAAGCACUCCGUCCU
rnacentral:rRNA from 1 species